rnacentral:rRNA from 1 species
UACGUAGGGUGCGAGCGUUGUCCGGAAUUAUUGGGCGUAAAGGGCUCGUAGGCGGUUUGUUACGUCGGGAGUGAAAACUCGGGGCUCAACCCCGAGCCUGCUUCCGAUACGGGCAGACUAGAGGUAUGCAGGGGAGAAUGGAAUUCCUGGUGUAGCGGUGAAAUGCGCAGAUAUCAGGAGGAACACCGGUGGCGAAGGCGGUUCUCUGGGCAUUACCUGACGCUGAGGAGCGAAAGUGUGGGGAGCGAACAGG